rnacentral:SRP_RNA from 1 species
CCGUGCUAAGUGGGGAGUUAGCGGUGCCCUGUACCCGCAAUCCGCUACAGCGGGACUGAAUUCCUCGCCCGAGGCAUCGGCUGUAAGGUUUGAAUUUUGGUAAGUGGCGUUGAAUGCUGGGUCCUGUGCGACGAAGGCUUGUGAACCCCGUCAGAUCCGGAAGGAAGCAGCGGUAAACAAGAAGCUUCGGGUGCCGCAGAUUAACCUAACAUGAGCUAACUGCCAGAAUUUCACUUGUAGUUUGUUGUCGAAGGCAGGUGCACGG